CAACUACUCCCUCUGUCCCAAAUUUCUUGUCUUAGGUUUGUCUAGAUACGGAUGUAUCUAAUACUAAAAUGUGACUUGAUACAUCCGUAUCUAGACAAAUCUAAGACAAGAAUUUUGGGACGGAGGGAGUACUUU
rnacentral:pre_miRNA from 1 species